AACGAACGCUGGCGGCGUGGCUAAGGCAUGCAAGUCGUACGGGACUUUCGCGGUAGUAAUACUUCGAAAGUUUAGUGGCGAACGGGUGAGUAAUGCAUGGGUAACGUACCUCGGACACAGGGAUAGCGGCGGGCUUCGGCCCUUUGCGAAAGUGCCGGUAAUACCUGAUAACAUCCAGAGAUUUCAUGGUCUUUGGGUCAAAGGCGGGGAUCCUUCGGGACCUGUCGGUCUGGGAUCGGCCCAUGUCCUAUCAGCUUGUUGGUGGGGUAAUGGCCUACCAAGGCUUUGACGGGUAGCGGGCGUGAGAGCGCGACCCGCCACAUCGGGACUGAGACACUGCCCGGACACCUNACGGGUGGCUGCAGCAACGAAUAUUCCGCAAUGGACGCAAGUCUGACGGAGCGACGCCGCGUGAAGGAUGAAGUCCCUCGGGAUGUAAACUUCAAUAGUUUGUCAGGAAGCGAUGGGGCCUAAUACGUCCCUGAGUUGACCAUCAAACGAAAGAGGUGCUAACU
rnacentral:rRNA from 1 species